ensembl:lncRNA
AGAUAACCCGCGCUGGUUGUUACAGUGGAUUUUAAAUAAAAGAUUGGAUUAAGUCAUCAUUCUGCCGUGUGCCCGUCAACCUCUUCUUAAACAGUUCUAGAACUAUAUAGUGACUGAAACACAACAGUUGGCGACGAGGAUGGGAUUUUUAAGUUAGAAGACAGAGUUAGCAUGUUAAGCAGCUCCGAUGAGGCAGAAGACGACAACGAACAACCGAAGAGCCGUUCGGCGAGUAAAAGGACCGUUGAACAGAAGAUGGCAUUUGGUAAAGCCAGAAGAUUUCCACUUUGAGGAAAGUGAGGAAAGUUUCGAGAGUUAUCGAGAGCGGUUGGAGCAGUACUUUGCAGCAAAUGGUUUGGACAUUAAAGAAGAAAGAACCAAAGCGGUUUUCCUUACGGUGGUAGGAAAACGGGCGCAUAGCUUGCUGAUGGAUUUGUGCGCGCCAGAAAAGCCAUUGGGGAAAACGUAUGAAGUACUGGUGGAAAUGCUAGAAAAGCACUACAUUCCAAAAACCAACUUUAUUGCUCAGAGAUGCAAGUUUCACGGAAGAAACCAAAAGGAAAAUGAAACAAUGAGGCCUUGAAGCAACGUUUUUUGCGGGUUGAUUUUUUGUGAUCCAAGAACCACGCUGCCAAGGAAUGUGUCAGAAGAAGGCUGUAACGGCCGAAGAAGCCGAGGACAUAAAAAGAUCUCUCGACUUCCUAUCCGGCGAAGUUGCCGCGAUGAGGAAACAGCAGAGAGACAUCCUAGACCUGGCCGGGGAGAUAAAAGUGUUGCGGAUGCAGAGCGAGGAAAGGGUCAACAAAUUAUCCAUCUGGAAAGCAGAGUGUCUGACCUGGAGCAGUACACUAGGAUUAACAACGUCAUCGUUACCGGGCUCCACGUUUAACCCCGGUCAUACGCUCGGGCGGUGACCGAUGACAACGGGGGGGAGCCCGGUGAAAUGGAUGUCAGCUCCACGGAGCAACAGGUAGCUGCAUUCCUGCAAUCGAAGGGGAUUGACCUGGACUGCAAUGACAUCGAGGCAUGCCACCCGCUGCCCAGGAGGAAAACCAGCGACAAUCCGGUGGUCAUCAUCAGGUUUGUUAACCGCAAACACAAGACCGCGCUGCUGAGACAGGGAAGGAAGCUGAAAGGAAGUAACAUGUUCCUGAACGACCAUCUCAGUAAAUACAACGCCGACAUAGCCAGAAUAGCUCGCAAUUUGAAAAGGCAGAGGAAAAUUCAGAACACUUGGACUGCAAACUGUAAAAUGUUCAUUCAAUUAAAUGGUUCUCCCGAAGUGUUGGUCGUCAAGCACAUUGAGGAACUGGAUAAAUACCAGUGAAUAAAAAACAACACUCAACAAUGACACAAACUCAAAGUAUUCGCUCAAAUGCAUCUAUAGACAAUAGCCACAUAACUCAGGGGAUUAUGAAUAAUGACACUUUGGAACUAAACACAUUUGAAUAUACGGAUCAUAAUGCACUGGAUUUGGAGCACGAAAUAGACCCGGACAACAAUUUUUUCUCUACCAUCAACAACAACUGUCACUAUUACACUGGGGAGCAGUUCAACCGGAGCUGUUGGGAAAAAUAACCUGCUGAGUACAUCACAUGUACAUUACAAAUAUAGCUAACUCCUACCCUAGCCUGAUGAGCACAUCACAUGGCAGACACAUUACAAUAUAGUCAACUCUUGCUCUAACCCAACGAACACAUAACACAAACAUGAUAAUAUAGUCAGGUCAAGGCCGGAGCCGAAGGCCCCAUUUCCCCAUCCAGGCAAAUGGUAGACACUCAGACAAUGCACCAGUCAUCCUCAAGAACGGGAGAGCCACAUUAAUUUAUCACACAGGAGACAUUUUGAGAGCUCUCCCCCGUUAGGAGGAACCAAGAGAUACACCUGCCCAUACCAGGGCCUGAGAGCCACAUUAAAUUAUCACACAGAAGACACUUCGGGGGGGCGCUCCCCCGUUUUAAUUUAUCACACAGGAGACAUUUUGAGAGCUCUCCCCCGUUAGGAGGAACACAAGAAGAUACACAUGCACAUACCAGGGCCUGAGAGCCAAGGUCAAGCAAAAACACACAGAACCACACACAUCUCAAACGCACAUACCUCAUCAAGAGGAGGAUACAGCAUAAGACUGUAUCACACAGGGACUCUUCACCUUCUUCUGAAGCAGACCUUCCACGGAGGCGAAGCUCUGGGCGAACCAUCAGCGCUGAUUAGGGACUUAGACAUAUUCGAUUUCUCACGCUUUAUGACUCUGUAUAACCGUUG